CGGUUGAUCCUGCCGGACCCUACUGCUAUCGGGGUGGGGCUAAGACAUGCGAGUUGUGCGUCUCUAGGCUAUGGUAGAGACGCGGCGUACGGCUCAGUAACACGUGGCUAACCUACCCUUAGGACGGAGACAACCCCGGGAAACUGGGGCUAAUAUCCGAUAGGUGAGGAGGCCUGGAAUGGUUCUUCACCUAAAAGGCGUUGAAACCAUGCUUUUCGACGUCGCCUAAGGAUGGGGCCGCGUCCGAUCAGGUUGUUGGUGGGGUAACGGCUCACCAAGCCUAUAACCGGUACGGGCCGUGAGAGCGGGAGCCCGGAGAUGGGCACUGAGACAAGGGCCCAGGCCCUACGGGGCGCAGCAGUCGCGAAAACUCCGCAAUGCGCGAAAGCGUGACGGGGCUACCCCGAGUGCCGUCCGCUGAGGAUGGCUUUUCCCCGGUGUAAUGAGCCGGGGGAAUAAGGAGAGGGCAAGUCUGGUGUCAGCCGCCGCGGUAAUACCAGCUCUCCGAGUGGUAGGGAUGAUUAUUGGGCUUAAAGCGUCCGUAGCCGGCUUAGCAAGUCUCCUGUCAAAUUCAGCGACUUAAUCGUUGAGCCGCGGGAGAUACUACUAGGCUAGGAGGCGGGAGAGGCCGACGGUAUUCCCGGGGUAGGGGUGAAAUCCUAUAAUCCCGGGAGGACCACCAGUGGCGAAGGCUGUCGGCUAGAACGCGCUCGACGGUGAGGGACGAAAGCUGGGGGGAGCGAACCGGAUUAGAUACCCGGGUAGUCCCAGCUGUAAACGAUGCGGGCUAGGUGUUGGGGUGGCUACGAGCCACUUCAGUGCCGCAGGGAAGCCAUUAAGCCCGCCGCCUGGGGAGUACGGCCGCAAGGCUGAAACUUAAAGGAAUUGGCGGGGGAGCAC
rnacentral:rRNA from 1 species